UGGAGCAAUCCUAGUAGAGCGGCGCACGGGUGCGUAACACGUGGAUAAUCUGCCUGGGAGACCGGAAUAACCUGCCGAAAGGCAAGCUAAUACCGGAUAAGCCCACAGGGACUUAGGUCCUCGAGGGAAAAGGUGGCCUCUGUAUACAAGCUAUCACUUCCAGAUGAGUCCGCGGCCCAUCAGCUAGUUGGCGGGGUAAUGGCCCACCAAGGCAACGACGGGUAGCUGGUCUGAGAGGACGAUCAGCCACACUGGAACUGAGACACGGUCCAGACUCCUACGGGAGGCAGCAGUGGGGAAUUUUGCACAAUGGGCGCAAGCCUGAUGCAGCAACGCCGCGUGUGUGAUGAAGGUCUUCGGAUUGUAAAGCACUUUCGACCGGGACGAAAACCCGUUGGCUAACAUCCAACGGCUUGACGGUACCGGGAGAAGAAGCACCGGCUAACUCUGUGCCAGCAGCCGCGGUAAUACAGAGGGUGCAAGCGUUGUUCGGAAUUAUUGGGCGUAAAGCGCGUGUAGGCGGCCAUGCAAGUCGGGUGUGAAAGCCCUCGGCUUAACCGAGGAAGUGCGCCCGAAACUGCACGGCUCGAGUACCGGAGAGGAUGGCGGAAUUCCCCAAGUAGAGGUGAAAUUCGUAGAUAUGGGGAGGAACACCGGUGGCGAAGGCGGCCAUCUGGACGGAUACUGACGCUGAGACGCGAAAGCGUGGGGAGCAAACAGGAUUAGAUACCCUGGUAGUCCACGCCGUAAACGAUGAGAACUAGGUGUCGUGGGUGUUGACCCCCGCGGUGCCGCAGCUAACGCAUUAAGUUCUCCGCCUGGGAAGUACGGCCGCAAGGCU
rnacentral:rRNA from 1 species